rnacentral:rRNA from 1 species
AACGUAGGUGGCAAGCGUUAUCCGGAUUUACUGGGCGUAAAGGGUGUGCAGGCGGGGUGGUAAGUGGUGUAUGAAAUCGCUCGGCUCAACCGGGCGGGGUUAUGCCAGACUGCCAGUCUAGAGGGCGAGAGAGGGACAUGGAAUUCCGGGUGUAGUGGUGAAAUGCGUAGAGAUCCGGAGGAACCCCAGAGGCGAAGGCGGUGUCCUGGCUCGUACCUGACGCUCAGACACGAAAGCAUGGGGAGCGAACGGG